GAAUAUUGAAAGUAAUGUUUUUGAUAUGUACAAGAGAAAAUGGUGUAAUGAUUUAAACACAAAUGAUCGCAGUAAACUGCGUACAUAUAGAUUAUUUAAACAAGAAUAUUAUAAAGAACAUUAUUUAAGUGUUCAUAUGCCAGGAAAAUAUAAAAGCGCCUUUGCUAAAUUUCGAUGUGGUGUGGCGCCGAUUAGAAUUGAAACAGGCAGAUAUGAAGGGGUUUUAAGUGAAAAUAGAUUUUGUUUUAAUGAUUCAUGUAUACAACAGAAACUCAUUGAAGAUGAGAAACAUGUUUUACUCAAAUGCCCUUUAUAUUCACAGGCAAGACAAGAGGUUUUUACUAGAGCAGUUUCUUUUAAUAUUGAUUUUUUAGACUUAAAUGAUGAUGAAAAAUUUAUAUUUUUAUUUACAAAUAAAAAUUUAUGCUUUUAUUCGGCCAAAAUCUGCCAUGAUAUUUUAAUUCAAAGGAAGAAUGUUUUAUAUAGAUAAAAAAUGUUUUAUAUUUUUAUCGAGCUGUCCUUUUUUAUGUAAAAGUCUCUCAUAACUCUUUUGAGAGUGGCUCUCGAAUGUUUUUAAGAUUGUUUUGUACUUUUAAUUAAAACAUGUUGUAUAUAUAUAUUGUGUUCAUGUUUGUAUUGUACAUGUAGAGAGGUGAGACUAUAAUAAAAUAUUUGAUUU
rnacentral:lncRNA from 1 species